rnacentral:misc_RNA from 1 species
UAUUCAAGUUAGCAGUUGCCAUUCUCUUGGUGGGUCUUGCUUUUAGGCUCUUCUUCUAUCAAUCUACCAGAUUUGAACCCAAUUUCGAUGACUCUUUUGUUGAUAAAACUGAAGUGCCAAAGCCACCACCAAUUUCUGUUAAUAUUCCGAAGCCACCUGCUUCUGUUGAUAUUUCAAAUCCACCUGCUUCUGUUGACAUUCCAAAGCCAACUGUUUCUGUUGGUGUGCCAGAACCUGAAGAUGAGGAGGCGCCCAAUAAUGAACUUUAUACAGGUGAGUGUGAUCUUUUUAUUGGAGAUUGGAUUCCCAGCCCGUCAGGCCCGAUUUACACAAAUGCUAGCUGCCCUUUGAUUGAAGGUCACCAGAAUUGUAUUAGGAAUGGGCGACCGGAUUCAGGUUAUCUAUUCUGGAGGUGGAAUCCACGAGAUUGUGAAUUACCUCAAUUUGAUCCACAAAGAUUUCUUGAGUUAAUGAGGAAUAAAACAUGGGCAUUGAUCGGUGAUUCAAUAUCUCGCAACCAUGUGCAGUCAUUGCUGUGCAUGCUCUCCCCAGUUGAGCAAGCCGUUGAAGUUUAUCAUGACGAGGAAUACAAAUCANAAAAGAUGGCACUUUCCUUCCUACAACUUCACCAUAUCAAAUAUUUGGUCCCCUUUCCUCGUUGAGGCAGCAAUCUUUGAAGAUAAUGAUGGUGUUUCAACAGCUGAAGUUCAGCUGCAGCU